UGGGUUGUGGCUCAGCAGCAGAGCACUCGCCUAGCACGUGUGAGACCCUGGGUUCGAUCCUCGCACCACAA
rnacentral:tRNA from 1 species